rnacentral:rRNA from 1 species
UACAGAGGGUGCAAGCGUUGUUCGGAAUUAUUGGGCGUAAAGGGCGCGUAGGCGGCCCGCCGCGUCCGGGGUGAAAUCCUCCCGCUCAACGGGAGAACGGCCUCGGAUACGGGCGGGCUGGAGGGGGGUAGGGGCAGGCGGAACUGUGGGUGGAGCGGUGAAAUGCGUUGAGAUCCACGGGAACUCCGGUGGCGAAGGCGGCCUGCUGGACCCCAUCUGACGCUGAGGCGCGAAAGCCAGGGGAGCAAACGGG